AAUGAACGCUGGCGGCGUGCUUAACACAUGCAAGUCGAGCGGAAAGGCCCUUCGGGGUACUCGAGCGGCGAACGGGUGAGUAACACGUGAGCAACCUGCCCUGGACUUUGGGAUAACCCUCGGAAACGGGGGCGUAAUACCGGAUAUUACCUUUGCCCGCAUGGGUGUUGGUGGAAAGUUUUUCGGUUCUGGGAUGGGCUCGCGGACUAUCAGCUUGUUGGUGGGGUGAUGGCCUACCAAGGCGACGACGGUUAGCCGGCCU
rnacentral:rRNA from 1 species